AGUCGGCCGGGCAGCCGCUGCGCCUCUGGCGUGGAGGAAAGUCCGGGCUCCGAUGGGCAGGGUGCCAGGUAACGCCUGGGCGGCGUGAGCCGACGGCCAGUGCAGCAGAGAGUAGACCGCCGAUGGCCUCCCCAGGGAGGAUCAGGUAAGGGUGAAAGGGUGCGGUAAGAGCGCACCGCACGGGUGGUAACACUUCGUGGCACGGUAAACCCCACCCGGAGCAAGACCAAAUAGGGGAGCAGACGCGUGGCCCGCGCGGCUCCCGGGUAGGUUGCAUGAGGUGCAUGGCGACAUGCAUCCCAGAUGAAUGGUUGCCUUCAACAGAACCCGGCUUACAGGCCGACUUC
rnacentral:RNase_P_RNA from 1 species